CCGUCGACAACACAUUCUUCGCUAACUCGAUGAGUUUUUGUUUUUCUCAUUCCUGUUUUCAGGUGAAAUGACCAUUUAACACCCUUUUUAAUCUCCUUAUCUACUGGUUCGUAUCGUUUCUCUUGUCAUGUAAAACGAUGCUUUGGGUUUUCUGAAUUGCAUGGAUUUCUCCUUUUCCAGCUGACGGAACUGCGCUUUCAAGAACUCACUGAGCUCAAAUCUGGCCGUUUUUACGUUUCAUCGUCUUCAAACUGAAAGGUUUUGGGUUUGAUCUCUCCGACCAUCGGUUUAAUAGGAUAAUAAUAAACAACAUCAAACAGCCAGUGUCAUAUUUCUCUUUAUUUGGACUAAAAUGCCCUAAUGUUUUUAAAGGAUUUUACAUUUUCACGUGAGGUCAGCACUAUAAGCAGAUCGGAAGUGCUUCACCUUUUGUUCUCGCCUCUUUACCGUUCACCUGUUAUUCUUUUGUUGGCCUUUUAUAGAUUUGCCAAAUCAACAUUCCUUACCACAUCCCCUUAGAUUCUGUUUCCCAAGACCUUUUCAGUAAAGGACAAUUUCAUCAGGAGAAAAAAAUAUUCAGUACGCCAUCCUUGCAUCGUAAGAGCCAGGAAACUUCGCCGUAGAGGAUCCCUCUUUUGUUUUGUUUUAUUUUUUCUCUUUAAAAACACUUGGGGGGCAUUUUAGUCAUAAUCUAACGUAAGUGACAGGUGGGGUCCAUUGAAAGAAGGCUGUAGUUCUGCGUUUUGGGUUUGGUGUGAUGUUGUUGGUAGUGGCGGAUGGCUAUAUCAUAUAAUCAUAUGCCCUUUCCGAUUAGGUUCCGAAAACUGAAGAGAGAGAGAUUAUCAGGUGUGACGCGGAUGCACGGAAAUAUGGGUGGUCUUCCCUCCCCAUCACUAUCUGUAACUGUACUUGUAUUUGUAUCGGUUUCCUCGUGUUUAUCUACUCUUUUGUGGCCCUAGCCUUAACUUUUUCCGAGAUUGGGAUAUCUUUAGCGUCUGGAUCCCACGGUUGCUUAAACAUUUAUGAUGGGUAUCGGAUGGAUCAUGGACCGUGUGAUUUGGAAAAAAGAAAAUGAAAGUGGGAAGUGAGAUUUCUAUUAGGUGUUGGGAUGUCUAGGUUAUACAGCUAGUGACCCAAUAUCUGACGGCCAUGACAGAAAGCGUCAAGUGAUGAAAGUCACCUGAGGUAGAGGUAGGAAUAGAAUAGAGAACGGCUUAAAGUUCUUCUUGUGCUAACAUGCCUGCUAAUGUGACGUGGCGUGUUAGUACUGGUUCACUUGGGUAAGACCUAAGAAGGAGCGGCUUUGUCAAUACUAAAAAAAAAAAAAAUUUGUAAGCCUCUUCAACACCCUGAGUUUGCCAGCUGUCCACCAAGAAGCUCUUUCAACGGCUGCAUGUUUCUCGUCGUGACUUCGAGAUAUCUGAAUUUUUUUGGUCCUUUUUUUAAUAAUGUAAGGAAGAAAGGAUGGGAUGGCCAAUAUGCCUAAUGGGAAGCUGUAAAUGUGACGUGUGAGUCACAGCGUCUGUUAAGUUCAUGGCAAUUUGGAUAACGUCUAUGCAUGCAUGUUUGAGGUUUCGGAUGGGACCCCAACUUUUUAAACUUUAGGUAUUGCUGCUAAUGAAACCGCUAUCACAACUACCAAGAGGUCAAGAAGAAAGAAGACAUUUGCUGAACUUAAGGGGGAGGAAAAUCUGCUUUUAAAGGAAAGGGUUUAUUUAAAAAAGGAGAUAGCAUCGAUGCUCGCUACUUGUAAAGAACAGAGAGCCGGGAAUGAGAACUUGAAAAGAAUGAAGCUUGAUUUGAACUUGCACACUGCAAAGAACUUGAGUCUAAUUGCUGUUGAACCCGAGAAAGUACCUUCUUGCCAACCCUGUCAGAGAGUAUCCUCUUCUCUUGACUACAUUCCCUCGAUCUUGCCAUCACAUGCCCUGGAUGAUAGUAAACCGCCGUUAGAUUCUUGCAGUCUAGACAAAGCUAUAUCUAGAGGGGAGACUUUUUUCUUACUGCCUGAUCUAAAUAUGAUGCCUGCGGAAGAUGAUUCAGGCACUGAGACUUUAUAUGGAACUAGCUGAAAAGAUGAGUUGACUACCUUCCUUCUCGCAGCCAAAGGGUGUAGGAAAGUGGAGGGGACAUGCUGGAAAAGAGUGACACUGGCCAAGGAGCUGUGUGCUAAUGUAACUUCACUGAAACUCAGGCCAAGCAACAGAUAAGUUGCCAACCCUUGAAGGGCAGAAGAAGCUCACGCUAUACAGAGAAGAUUUGAGGGUAGUGCCUGUAGAUGGUAGAGAUGAUUCUUUUCAUUGUGCAGGUAAUUGCGUUCUUCCGAAAUUCGUUGGGGUAAACCCUCACUACUUCUUGUUUCGGAAUUUAUGUGGAAAUAAUUGCCAUUCUUUGUAGGUAUAACCUGAUGGCCUCCUUAUGUAGGCUUCUUGAAACUAAUUUCAUUUUUCUGUUGUUACAAACUCUGUUUCCGGUCCCUCCCCCCCCUUUCAAUUAUUCUGUUUAACUAGGGGAAGGAAUUUGAGAAAGGACUUUCCAAAAUCUUUGAUGCUACUAUUUCUUUAUAAUUUUCUUUACUAGUAAUGAAAUUUCUUCCCAAAAAAAAAAGGGGUAAUGAAAUUUCUUAAAUGGACCAAUUUUGCACCAAUUCGACCAUGUAUCAAGAAGUUCUACCUUCGUAUCAAAAUGCUAGUACUUUCACAGACUCUUACCUCGAUGAAUUUAUACCGUUCGAGUUUGUGUUUUCUAGCACCUGUCCGGCAUAUUUCCUUUGACUAGGUAAAAGAGUUCGUAGUUGAAUGUUCAAAAUGUAUUGUUUCCAUUAGCUUAAUAUCUUGAUUCCCGAUCCUAGUGAUAAAGGGGGAAGGGGCUAACGAGUUAUUCCGGUUUGAUUUAGAAAAAACUUCAAGCUUAACUCAUGAAUCAUUGAUUUGAGUUGGAACUUAAGUUAUUUGAGAAAUGAGUUUAGUCGAAUUCGAGUAAUUUAAUAAAAUCUUGUAUUUCAUAUUUUUGACUGGACAGUAUGAAAAGUUAAAAUUUUUUUAUU